AGGGCCCAGGUGAAAAGGUGAGGGGAUAUCAGGAGGUAAAAGUAUCCUGCAGUCAGCUUUGUCCUGUGCCCUCUUGGAUUCACUGACUGUUCUACAAGGUGACUCAGAGCAGAGAAAGAUGGGCUGGUUGUAGGCCCUAUGGAGCUUUCCGGUGGCUCGGUGAUGAGUGGCGGCUGAUGAGCGAAUCCGUCCACCUCCAGAUCUCUGAAGUGGCUCCUGGGCCUCUCCGAGCGCUGAAUAAAGAGACUUCUAGGUGGUCACCAACUCUUCCUCCAGCUGCGUCCCCUGCCUCACCCCGUACCUUUCGCGCCUGUUGGUUUUACCAAUGGGAAGACAUAUUUCGGGGCGGGGCGGUGGAGGCAAAAAGAAAGAGAAAGCCUGUUUCCGCCCGGUAUCGAACCGGGGACCUUUCGCAUGUGAGGCGAACGUGAUAACCACUACACUACGGAAACUGGAUAAACUCUCCUCUUGAACAAUGUAUCCAUUAAAUUCGAGGUCCCGCCACCAGUAACCACAGCACCAACUCUUAACACCAGAGGAGCCUUGAAGCCCCAAACUCUCUCAGGCACGGAGACGGCGGCUCUGGAGGGCCCUGCUUUAGGGUUCCCCCUCUCCCCUGAAGUGAGGACCCUCGGACCCCCACAGGUUGCCUUUGGGACCCCGCACCCAACGAAGAAUCCUUAGACCCUCAGCUGCCCACCCUGAGUUCAGGGGUCGCCCGCGCCACCUCCCCAGCUCCCGGAAGCCGCAGGAGGCGGGGACGGUGGGUGCGCCCGAGGCCCAGGUGACCCCGAAACCCAGCGGUGUGGAAGCCGCCCCUCCAUGGCUGCGGACCCGCGCCUCGGUGGUCCUUCUCUCGGCGCCGGCGAUCAGCGCUCUGGGCUCUCAGGAAUGACCGACGCUUCCAAUCCAACCGGGACGCGCCCUCCCCGCUGUUCCUUUGCACCUGACUCC
ensembl:lncRNA